GUUUCUAUAUUAAAAGGAGCCUUUAAAGCUUCGCUUAAAGAUGGGCCUGCGGCGUAUUAGCUAGUUGGUGAGGUAAUGGCUUACCAAGGCGCCGAUGCGUAGCCGAACCGAGAGGUUGAUCGGCCACAUUGGGACUGAGACACGGCCCACACUCCUACGGGAGACAGCAGUUAGGAAUAUUCGUCAAUGGGGGAAACCCUGAACGAGCAAUGCCGCGUGAACGAUGAAGGCCCUAUGGGUUGUAAAGUUCUGUUGCAUGGGACGAACGGCUAGGAUAGGAAAUGAUCUUAGUGUGACGGUACCAUGCCAGAAAGCUCCGGCUAACUACGUGCCAGCAGCCGCGGUAAUACGUAGGGAGCGAGCGUUAUCCGGAUUUAUUGGGCGUAAAGGGUGCGUAGGCGGUUUGUUAAGUAUGAGAUUAAAGCCUGAGGCUUAACCUCAGUUCGUUUCAUAAACUGGCAGACUUGAGUAUGGCAGAGGUAAACGGAAUUUCUAGUGUGGCGGUUAAAUGCGUAGAUAUUAGAAGGAACACCAGUGGCGAAGGCGGUUUACUGGGCCAUAACUGACGCUGAGGCACGAAAGCGUGGGGAGCAAAUAGGAUUAGAUACCCUAGUAGUCCACGCCGUAAACGAUGAGUACUAAGUGUUGGG
rnacentral:rRNA from 1 species